AUUGAACGCUGGCGGCAGGCCUAACACAUGCAAGUCGAACGAGUGGCGGACGGGUGAGUAAUGUCUGGGAAACUGCCUGAUGGAGGGGGAUAACUACUGGAAACGGUAGCUAAUACCGCAUACCAUCAGAUGUGCCCAGAUGGGAUUAGCUAGUAGGUGGGGUAACGGCUCACCAAGGCGAAGAUCCCUAGCUGGUCUGAGAGGAUGACCAUCCACACUGGAACGGAGACACGGUCCAGACUCCUACGGGAGGCAGCCGUGGGGAAUAUUUCACAAUGGGCGCAAGCCUGAUGCAGCCAUGCCGCGUGUAUGAAGAAGGCCUUCGGGUUGUAAAGUACUUUCAGCGAGGAGGCGUUACCCGCAGAAGAAGCACCGGCUAACUCCGUGCCAGCAGCCGCGGUAAUAC
rnacentral:rRNA from 1 species